rnacentral:rRNA from 1 species
GGUUCAUUCAAAUUUCUGCCCUAUCAACUUUCGAUGGUAAGGUAUUGGCUUACCAUGGUUUCAACGGGUAACGGGGAAUUAGGGUUCGAUUCCGGAGAGGGAGCCUGAGAAACGGUACCACAUCCAAGGAAGGCAGCAGGCGCGCAAAUUACCCAAUCCCGACCGGGGAGGUAGUGACAAUAAAUACUGAUACAGGGCUCUUUUGGGUCUUGUAAUUGGAAUGAGUACAAUUUAAACCUCUUAACGAGGAACAAUUGGAGGGCAAGUCUGGUGCCAGAGCCGCGGUAAUUCCAGCUCCAAUAGCGUAUAUUAAAGUAGUUGCAGUUAAAAAGCUCGUAGUUG